rnacentral:tRNA from 1 species
UGGCUCAGUGGAUAGAGCAUUGGCCUGCAAACCCAAGGGUCCCAGGUUCGAUUCUGG